GACGACGACGGGUAGCCGGCCUGAGAGGGCGACCGGCCACACUGGGACUGAGACACGGCCCAGACUCCUACGGGAGGCAGCAGUGGGGAAUAUUGCACAAUGGGGGAAACCCUGAUGCAGCGACGCAGCGUGCGGGAUGACGGCCUUCGGGUUGUAAACCGCUUUCAGCAGGGAAGAAGCGCMMGUGACGGUACCUGCAGAAGAAGUACCGGCUAACUACGUGCCAGCAGCCGCGGUAAUACGUAGGGUACGAGCGUUGUCCGGAAUUAUUGGGCGUAAAGAGCUCGUAGGUGGUUGGUCACGUCUGCUGUGGAAACGCAACGCUUAACGUUGCGCGUGCAGUGGGUACGGGCUGACUAGAGUGCAGUAGGGGAGUCUGGAAUUCCUGGUGUAGCGGUGAAAUGCGCAGAUAUCAGGAGGAACACCGGUGGCGAAGGCGGGACUCUGGGCUGUAACUGACACUGAGGAGCGAAAGCAUGGGGAGCGAACAGGAUUAGAUACCCUGGUAGUCCAUGCCGUAAACGUUGGGCACUAGGUGUGGGGGGCAUUCCACGUUCUCCGCGCCGUAGCUAACGCAUUAAGUGCCCCGCCUGGGGAGUACGG
rnacentral:rRNA from 1 species